UACGAGGGGGGCGAGCGUUGUUCGGAAUUAUUGGGCGUAAAGGGCGCGUAGGCGGUCGGAUAAGUCUUGUGUGAAAUCUUCGGGCUCAACUCGAAGUCUGCACAGGAAACUAUCUGGCUUGAGUGUGGGAGAGGUGAGUGGAAUUCCUGGUGUAGCGGUGAAAUGCGUAGAUAUCGGGAGGAACACCUGUGGCGAAAGCGGCUCACUGGACCACAACUGACGCUGAGGCGCGAAAGCUAGGGGAGCAAACAGG
rnacentral:rRNA from 1 species